AAGAACGUUAUGAGAAAGACUAGUAAUAAUUAAUAAAAUUCCAGCGAGUCUCGUCCGGUGCAAGGAGACAAUUCCCUGUUAAUUAUGAAUAUCGCUUUCGAGCGUUGGACCAGAACCCUAGUAAGGUCCUUUGGGUACGCCCAUUACAGCGUUAGCGUAUCGCCCUUUGUUUAAUAGGGCCGCACGUGAAAGGAAGCCUUGGCGACAAGGCUUUAAACCCAAGGUGGUACCACGCUUUAAGGCGUCCUUGAA
rnacentral:ncRNA from 1 species